AUUGAACGCUGGCGGAAUGCUUUACACAUGUAAGUCGAACGGUAGAGGGGGCAACCCCUCGAGAGUGGCGAACGGGUGAGUAAUAUAUCGGAACGUGCCCAGUCGUGGGGGAUAACGUAGCGAAAGUUACGCUAAUACCGCAUACGAUCUAAGGAUGAAAGCGGGGGAUCGCAAGACCUCGCGCGAUUGGAGCGGCCGAUAUCAGAUUAGGUAGUUGGUGGGGUAAAGGCUCACCAAGCCAACGAUCUGUAGCUGGUCUGAGAGGACGACCAGCCACGCUGGAACUGAGACACGGUCCAGACUCCUACGGGAGGCAGCAGUGGGGAAUUUUGGACAAUGGACGCAAGUCUGAUCCAGCCAUUCCGCGUGCAGGAUGAAGGCCCUCGGGUUGUAAACUGCUUUUGUACGGAACGAAAAGGUCUCUCUUAAUACGGGGGGCUCAUGACGGUACCGUAAGAAUAAGCACCGGCUAACUACGUGCCAGCCGCCGCGGUAA
rnacentral:rRNA from 1 species